AACACAUUCACUGAAGGAAGCAAGUGGCCACCAGAAGAUGCUUCGUUUUGCCAUCCUCGUGUUACUCUCUUGUGCCAUCUCCACCAGUGCAGGGCAGCCUAUGAAAUGCUCUGCUUCCCAUUCUGGCGAAUAUGGAGGGACUGGAGGAUCUCGCUUCUCACAGUCCGUAAACCAAUUGGAUGGGCCCAUAACUAUCCUUCAGAUCCGUGCAAGCCCAAC